AUAUUGUCAAUGGCGAAAGUCUAACCAGCCAUGCCGCGUGAAGGAUUAAGGCCCUCUGGGUUGUAAACUUCUUUUAUCUGGGACGAAAAAAGGGUAUUCUUACCCACUUGACGGUACCAGAGGAAUAAGCACCGGCUAACUCCGUGCCMGCAGCCGCGGUAAUACGGAGGGUGCAAGCGUUWUCCGGAUUCACUGGGUUUAAAGGGUGCGUAGGUGGAUAUUUAAGUCAGUGGUGAWAUCUCCGAGCUUAACUCGGAAACUGCCAUUGAUACUAUUUAUCUUGAAUGCCNGGGAGGUGAGCGGAAUAUGUCAUGUAGCGGUGAAAUGNUUAGAUAUGACAUAGAACACCAAUUGCGAAGGCAGCUUACUACGGGGUGAUUGACAGUGAGGCAAGAAAGCGUGGGGAUCAAACAGGAUUAGAUACC
rnacentral:rRNA from 1 species